GCCGGAAGCCCCCUGCUCUGUGGGAACCGGAGGGAGGACAGCGCGAGGUCCCCGGACAAAGCGUGGCGCAUAAGUCCGGCCCGUAACUUGGUGGGCAGGCAACUUAGGGGAUGUGGGCCUGGUUAUAGCUGAGCAUGCUUUUCUAUUCCUCCCAGACCACAGUUCUUCAGACCUGGAGCCACUUUCAGAGAAGAGUAUAAGUUGCACUGAAUUGAAAAAGGGAAAAGUUUAGGACUGCAGAAGAUGGAAUUCCUGGGGACGUUAAACUGGGCUAAGAUGGAGCAGAUAAGAUUUCCUUAAUUAGAGCAAGACACACCUAGUAUCUAGAGCCUGGAAGUCUUGGUCAAGGAUUCUCCCUAACAUCUCAGUUUCUCAGCACUAACAUUCCUGCUACUAAAAUGAAGUGAGAAAUUAAUUUCUGAAGUUAAGUAAAGAAAUAAACUAAAAUUCCUAGAAAAGAGGUAAGAAGAAUGAGCCUUUGAAAAAUGUCUUCACAAAGACUGGCAUGAUGGCAUGGAAGAAAGAGCCCCAGGCUGGAGUACAGUGGCAUGAUCAUAUCUCACUGCAACUUCUACCUCCUGGGCUCAAGCAAUCCUCUUACCUCAGCCUCCUGAGUAGCUGGGACUAUAGUCUCCCUCUCUUGCCAAGCCUGGACUGUACUGCCAUGAUCUCAGCUCGCUGCAACCUCCCUGCCUCGAGUUCUGGUGAUUCUCCUGCCUCGGCCUGACAUUCCAGGCAGGCGCCGCCACUCCUGACUGGUUUUUGUAUUUUUGGUGGAGACGGGGUUUCACCGUGUUGACCGGGCUGGUCUCCAGCUCCUGGCCUCGGGUGAUCUGCCCACCUCGGCCUCCCGAGGUGCUGGGAUUGCAGACGGAGUCUCGCUCACUCAAUGCUCAAUGUUGCCCAGGCUGGAGUGCAGUGGCGUGAUCUCAGCUUGCUACAACCUCCACCUCCCAGCCGCCUGCCUUGGCCUCCCAAAGUGCUAAGAUUACAGCCUCUGCCCACCCGCCACCCCGUCUAGGAAGUGAGCAGCGUCUCUGCCUGGCCGCCCAUCGUCUGGGAUGUGAGGAGCACCUUUGCCCGGCCGCCCCGUCUGGGAAGUGAGGAGCGCCUCUGCCCGGCCACCCCGUCUGGGAGGUGAGGAGCAUCUCUGCCCGGCCACCCCGUCUGGGAGGUGAGGAGCGCCUCUGCCCGGCUGCCCAGUCUGGGAAGUGAGGAGCGCCCCUGCCCACCCGCCCAUUGUCUGGGAAGUGAGGAGCACCUCUGCCCAGUCGCCCCGUCUGGGAAGUGAGGAGCGCCUCUGCCCGGCCGCCCCGUCUGGGAUGUGAGGAGCGCCUCUGCCCGGCCGCCCCGUCUGGGAUGUGAGGAGCGCCUCUGCCCAGCCGCCACCCCAUCUGGGAAGUGGGGAGCGCCUCUGCCCGGCCGCCCCAUCUGGGAUGUGAGGAGCGCCUCUGCCUGGCCUCCCCGUCUGGGAGGUGGGGAGCGCCUCUGCCCAGCCGCCCCGUCUGGGAGGUGAGGAGCAUCUCUACCUGGCUGCUCAUCAUCUGGGAUGUGAGGAGCACCUCUGCCCGGCCGCCCCAUCUGGGAAGUGAGGAGCGCCUCUGCCCAGCCACCCUUCGUCUGGGAGGUGAGGAGCGUCUCUGCCUGGCCGCCCAUUGUCUGGGAUGUGAGGAGCGCCUCUGCCCGGCCGCCCCCUCUGGGAAGUGAGGAGUGCCUCUGCCUGGCCGCCCCAUCUGGGAGGUGUACCCAACAGCUCCGAAGAGACAGCGACCAUUGAGAACGGGCCAUGAUGACGAUGGUGGUUUUGUUGAAAAAUAAAGGGGGAAAUGUGGGGAAAAGAAAGAGAGAUCAGAUUGUUACUGUGUCUGUGUAGAAAGAAGUAGACAUAGGAGACUCCAUUUUGUUCUGUACUAAGAAAAAUUCUUCUGCCUUGGGAUGCUGUUAAUCUAUAACCUUACCCCCAACCCCGUGCUCUCUGAAACAUGUGCUGUGUCAACUCAGGGUUAAAUGGAUUAAGGGUGGUGCAAGAUGUGCUUUGUUAAACAGAUGCUUGAAGGCAGCAUGCUCCUUAAGAGUCAUCACCACUCCCUAAUCUCAAGUACCCAGGGACACAAACACUGCGGAAGGCCGCAGGGUCCUCUGCCUAGGAAAACCAGAGACCUUUGUUCACGUGUUUAUCUGCUGACCUUCUCUCCACUAUUAUCCUAUGACCCUGCCACAUCCCCCUCGCCGAGAAACACCCAAGAAUGAUCAAUAAAUACUAAAAAAAAAAAAAAGUUAUUUCUUCUAAUCAAUAUUUCCAAGAGUUUCAACCUCUAAUUUUAAAUCUCUCAGUUUGAUUUCCUCUUUUACUGUCUUUCCUAAGGUGAUUAGCAUUUGUAAUUGCCAGAAGGAAUUAAGUCCCCCAAACCGUAACCUGAUGAAUCACAGAUAGUCAGGUCAAUCACCAGCCUUAUUAAAUAUUCACUUAAAAGUUUAAGUAGUUGUAUUUCAUCACCUAAAAGUUAUAAUUCUACAGUACAAAGGACUUUUUCUUAAAUUAACAUGAAUAACCAGUUAUGUGAUGAUAAAUAAACUUUUUAAGUAAGGAA
rnacentral:lncRNA from 1 species